CAGCUGGUGGCGGGGAGAGGAAUGGAAUAGAGGGAAUUGUAGUUGGGAGAGGGAUAUUGGGAAUUGAAGGCAUGCUUGGAAGUGGAGGCAAGGUGGCCUUGGGGACGACGGUAGGCAGUGCUGGCAUGCUUGGAAGUGGAGGCAAGGUGGCCUUGGGGACGACGGUAGGCAGUGCUGGCAUGCUUGGAAGCGGAGGCAAGGUCGCCUUGGGGACGACGGUAGGCAGUGCUGGCAUGCUCGGAAGUGGAGGCAGAGAGGGUUUAGGCAGUGAAGGUUGUUGCGUGGUGGGCAAAGUUGGCAAUGUGGGCUGUGGAAGUGUUGGUAUAGAAGGCAUUGGUGGCAAUGCAGGUUUAGGCAAACUGGGCACGGAAG
rnacentral:lncRNA from 1 species